AGUGAACGCUGGCGGUAGGCCUAACACAUGCAAGUCGAACGGCAGCACAGUAAGAGCUUGCUCUUACGGGUGGCGAGUGGCGGACGGGUGAGGAAUACAUCGGAAUCUACUUUUUCGUGGGGGAUAACGUAGGGAAACUUACGCUAAUACCGCGUACGACCUACGGGUGAAAGCAGGGGAUCUUCGGACCUUGCGCGAUUGAAUGAGCCGAUGUCGGAUUAGCUAGUUGGCGGGGUAAAGGCCCACCAAGGCGACGGUCCGUAGCUGGUCUGAGAGGGUGAGCAGCCACACUGGAACUGGGACACGGUCCAGACUCCUGCGGGAGGCAGCAGUGGGGAACAUUGGACAAUGGGCGCAAGCCUGAUCCAGCCAUACCGCGUGGGUGAAGAAGGCCUUCGGGUUGUAAAGCCCUUUUGUUGGGAAAGAAAAGCAGCAGGUUAAUACCACGCUGUUCUGACGGUACCCAAAGAAUAAGCACCGGCUAACUUCGUG
rnacentral:rRNA from 1 species